rnacentral:rRNA from 1 species
UACGGGAGGCAGCAGUGGGAAUAUUGCACAAUGGGCGCAAGCCUGAUGCAGCCAUGCCGCGUGUAUGAAGAAGGCCUUCGGGUUGUAAAGUACUUUCAGCAGUGAGGAAGGUGGAUAUGUUAAUAGCAUAUUCAUUUGACGUUAGCUGCAGAAGAAGCACCGGCUAACUCCGUGCCAGCAGCCGCGGUAAUACGGAGGGUGCGAGCGUUAAUCGGAAUUACUGGGCGUAAAGCGCAUGCAGGUGGUUUGUUAAGUCAGAUGUGAAAGCCCGGGGCUCAACCUCGGAAUUGCAUUUGAAACUGGCAAACUAGAGUACUGUAGAGGGGGUAGAAUUUCAGGUGUAGCGGUGAAAUGCGUAGAGAUCUGAAGGAAUACCGGUGGCGAAGGCGGCCCCCUGGACAGAUACUGACACUCAGAUGCGAAAGCGUGGGGAGCAAACAGGAUUAGAUACCCUGGUAG